AUGUCCAAGGUGCGGGUUGUGUCCAGAGUCUACAAUACAUAUGCUGCUAUGGUGUGGUCCUGCACAGGAAGUUUGGAACAAAUGAACUUCAUCUGGCCAACAGGAUCAAAUGAUCUCUCGAUGGCUACCUUCAAAAGGGCAGAACGUCAAGGUUAAUUUUGAUUGCGUUUAAGCUAGACUAACAUCGUUCGUGCUCUUGGUUUGGUAUUAGAAACGAAUCUGGGCUGGUAAUGAGAUGUGGGGUGCGGAUGAAUAGUUAUAUUGCAGAUGUUUUUUCUGCAGAAGCCAUGGCCUGCAUCCAAGCACUUCAAUUUGCAAGAGAUAUGGGUUUCUAUAACAGAGAGGUUGAGGGGGGCUUAAGGACUACGAUUAUUAAAGUCCAAAAAUGUACUUUGGAUUGAUUUGAAAUUGGUGAGCUUAUAGAAGAAAUCUUAUAUUUAGCUUUAACUUUUCACUCUAUUUCAUUUUGACAUACAGAUAGAUGAGUAAAUAUUGUAGCCCACAAGUUAGCAACAACAGGGUUUACAACGGGAAACACUAUGUUCUGGGUAGGAGAGGUACCUGAAGACAUACUAGAGGCGGUGCAUCGUGAUAUGGCCCUUUAGUUUCUUCCACCAAGAUCCAUUACAUCAAUCUUUUCUACUUCAUAUCAGGGAAUAAUGAACUCAACUUUACCAUUGGGUCGUCUUGUUGGUUUGAGGGCCCGUUUUGCUUUCUCACAUGAGAACUGGAAUCGUCAUAUCUGGUUUCACCGAGGCUCCUUUUACUUUUUUGCUUUUUUGUUUUGUGUUUUGUUUCAGUCAGUUUCAUUUUUGCUGUUUGUUUUAUUGCUUGUUUUGAGUACAACUGUGUGAAGGAUUCCCGAAUGUGAAAGGUACAGGGACACGUGGUUGGUUUAUGUUUUUGUAUCUGCUUUUUGUUUUGAUCCAUUAAUGAUGUCUCGGUUUUGUUAAAGAAAAUAA